rnacentral:tRNA from 1 species
GCCGGAGUAGCUCAGCCUGGUGAUCUUUUUUGGCGAGCAAAAAAGCUCAACCAAAAAUUCGGGGGUUGACCAUCGGUCAAGCCCCCAAUCGGGAAAUCUAGAGCGCAUGACUCAUAAUCAUGAGGUCGGGAGUUCAAAUCACCCCUCCGGCA